GGGCGGUUAGCUCAGCUGGUUAGAGCGCCUGCUCGACACGCAGGAGGUCGUUGGUUCAAAUCCAAUACCGCCCA
rnacentral:tRNA from 1 species